GACCAACCAGCAAUUUAAACGGUUAAGAGACUUUGAAACGUGCGGGUGUUGGAAUAUUUUUCGUUAACGUUGGCCGAUAAUAAUCGAGGCAACUUAAAGUUGUAAUAAAAAAUAAACACAAAAUAUAAAUAUUAAAGCAAAAACUAAAAAUAUUUAAAGCGCGCGUAAUUAAUUUAAAAAAAUUGUGUGUGUAUGUUAAUUAAUAUAAAUACCUAAAGUGAAAACAAAAGAAAAUUUAUUUGAAAAAAAGCCAGCAGGAAAAUAAUUAAAGAAAAUUUAAAUGAAAAAUUUCGUUAAUUAAUUAUUACAAAAAGCCAAAAAUUUAAAGAAUAAAGUGUUUACAAAGUAUUUAAUCAAUAAUUUAAGUCUUAAAAAGUUUGAAAAAGUGAAAAUUUUAAUUAAAGCGUUAAAAGCUAAAAAGUUGUUGGCAUUUUUUUUAGAGUAUAUUUAAAUACACACCCUUUGUAAUUUUGUAAAUUUUUUUCCAUUGUGUUGCAUGUAUAUAAAUAUAUAUAUAAAUAUGUAUAUAUACAUACAUAUAUUUUUAUGAGGUCAAAGGUAAAUGUUUGAUAUUGUGCGUGGUUAAGAAAAUGGCCUGAUUUUUUCUCUAGUAUUCUUCAACUAAUUAACUGAAAAUUAACAAAUAAAUAAGAUAUUUAUUAAACAAUUUAUUUGUUAUUAAAAACAAGUUAAAACCCCACCCACUUAUACAUUACUCCUGUUGUUGGUUGCUUUUGUUAUUAAAAGGAAUUUAACGAGCCAUAAAGUUAAACAGCCAAAGUUAUUAGUCCUAUGGAUAGAAGGAAUACUUUCACUUGUGUAAUGUAUAGCCAAAAAGGAAAAAAAAAACCGUUUGUUUGUAUCAGUGUGUGUUAAAUAUUGAACAGCUGGCCUAAACAUUAGCCUAGAAAAAGCCAAGAGGAAAAAACACAUUAUAUUUACUAAUAUUAUUUGGAAAUAAAUUUGAUAACUUGUUGGUAGAGAAAAAGGCAACAAAAAAAACUAAAAUUGGCAAAACAUGUUGGCCAUAUUAAUGUAUUUGGCUAAAGUAGAGGCUGAAGUACAGGCAGAACAGGAGACAAAUAUUUCAAAUACAACUUAAGCUUGUCACACACAUAAACAAGCGCCAGAAACAAAAAUAUUUGAAAAACUUGGUUGUUGUCCCCUUGACAAAGUUUGACUGACAUCCGUUUAACAAAUUAUUUAGAUACUUUAGAUACAACAACAACAACAAAUACUACCACAAUAACAACAACAUUAUCAUUAUCUAGCAGUGACAACAGCAACACCAAGAAAUUAACAUCAUUAUUGUUAAUAAUCAACGUUUGUUUAUAUCGGCAACCAACCAUAUUGUUAACGACAUCAUUGACAAUUUGCCACAUUAAUAUGUGAGAAUAAGAAAACCCCCUACUCCCCGCACUCCCCUGUAAAAUGGUGCCAAUGACAUAUAGACCUACAAACAAGCCGCCAUUGUUGUUGCCUUUAAGUUGAAGGAAAAACUUUAAGAAAAAAGAAAAGGAAUGUUGAAAAAUUCUAUAAUCAUGCCACAAAACUAAUUAAUGUUUGAAACAAACACAUUUACAUAAAGCUUAACUGUAAAAUACACACUCUCUCACACACCUAAAGACAUUUACAUAAACUCAUAUAAACCGUUACACACAUGCUAAUCCUUAGAAAAAAAGAGAGUUAAAGCUACAGAGAGAAAGAGCGAGUAUGAGUAAAAACAUGUAUUAUUUAAUGUAAAUAGAGCGGAGUACGUGUAGAAUAAAGCAUAAGGAGUCGAGGGAAGGGUACUCGCACUAACAGGAUGUGUAACGGUAAGAGUUAACAACAUUUGUGUCAACGUAAGAAAACACAAUAUUAAACCAAACAGCAACAACAAGAACAAGAACAACAUUAACAAGUACAACCUUUUAAAGGAAAAAUAAACCGCAAAACCAUAAACAAACAAAAUCAAAAAAUUCUUAGGAAUUUCUUACAACCUGCUUGUAACAAAACUUGAACCCACUAGAAAAACGUGAUUUUUGGCCAAAAAAUAAUUUCAAACAAAAAAUAUGUAACUCAAUUUAAAAUAUUAAAAAACGUGCAAUAUUAAAGCUUAAAUCUAAAUGGCUGUUUUAUAAUCUUGAAAAAUUAAGAAAAAAAAAAAAAAAAUAAAUAAAAGAAAUAACGGUUAAAUGAGUUUUUCCAAACGUGCUUGUUAAAAGCAAAUCAUGAAUAAAAAAAAACCAAACUCACAAGAAAAAAAAUGCGGUAGUAACGGUAAACGACAUAAUGAACUUGUGUAUUAAAGGGCGUGUCAAAUUAGCGCGAUUUUAAAACGAAAAAAAAUCGGGAAGAAAAACUUGAAAAAAAAAAAACGAAAAAAAAAGAAACGCGAAACGUACGAAUAACAAAAUACUAUGUCUGUUGAAUAUCUACAAACAGUAGCAGCAACAACAGAUGUAACUAACAACAACAGCAGCAGCAGUAGCAAACAUAUUUGUGAAAAUCAUAAGGAAACGGAAAACCAACAACACGAAGUUGUGGAAAACUCAACAACAACAACAAACUGCACAGAAAACGAAUCCACAACCAGGGAAGCAAAUAUAUGACGUACAAUAAAACAACAACAACCGCAAACAAAGGAUAAACAGCAACAACAACAACAAACACAUCAACAUUAUCAUCAUCAGCAUCUACAUCAACAUCACCAGGACUAUAAAUUUAAACAAACUUCUAAAAAUUUAAUCACAAAAAAUCUAACGAAAACAUUUCCAACAUUUGAAACGACAUCAGCCACUUCCCUGGUUUGUUCACGUCAUGUUUCUACAUGUCCACAACAUACUAAGUAUCAGCAGCAGCAGCAGCAAAAACAACAUUAUCAAACACAGCAGCAGCAGCAACAACAGCAACAGCACCAUCAUCUCUAUCACUCCAAACAGCAACAGCAAAAACAACGAAUUCAAUACCUUACGCCAGCCCAACCUGAAGAACCUCUCUAUGUCAAUAUGGUUUUAAGUACCGAAUGGUCUCAGGUAGAAGUUAUUGAUUUGAUUAACGAUGGCAACGGUUUGGGUUUUAUUUUGGUGGGCGGCCGUAGUACCGGUGUGGUUAUUAAGGCCCUAACGCCCGGCGGUGUAGCGGAGCGUGAUGGUCGCUUGCAAUGCGGCGAUCAUGUACUUCAAAUUGGUGAGGUGAAUUUGCGUGGUUUUAGUUCCGAACAGGUGGCCACGGUUCUUCGUCAGACUGGAGCUCAGGUUCGUUUGAUUGUAGCAAGACCGGUGGAGUCAACAGCCACCGAUUUCCAACAUCAAUUAGCUAGUCAUGCACCAAUUAUUCCAACUAAGCUCCUCUCCGACCCAGAAGAAUUGACGCGGCAUCUAUUUCAUCAAAGUAAUACGGAAGAGGUAACGGCGGCGACUGGUGUUUGUGGCAGUGUCAGUAUUAGUGGUAUUGGUGGUGGCGGCGGCAGUGGAUUAUCUGCAAAUUUCUGCUCCUCCUCCUCUCUAGGCCAUAAAGAGUCGUCUAGUCAUGAUUCCUUACAGCAGCAACAACAACCCCUUACAUUGAAUCUUAAUUUCCCUCCCACACCCGAUACCGAAUUGGCAGAUUUACCACUGCCUCCAAUACCCAAAGAAUUGACCACAUCGGCGGCUACCCAACGCAACUAUCCCAAAGAUUUGGACAUAGUACCAUUUUCCAUAGUAUCACCGCCUUUGCCUCAACCUCCCACAUCGGCAGCCGCAAUAAUGAAAACUAGCGUUAGUACACCCCAUCAAAUGGACCAUAUAGAGACUGUGAUAGCUGGUAUAACUACUACUCAAACUACUGGCACUUUAUCGAACGAUGAUAACGACGAUGACUGUUGUUCGAUUACCUCCUCCAAUUACUUGGAUUCACCCGAAACUGAAACAUACGAAGUUAAACUAAGAAAAAAUGUCUAUGGCCUAGGCAUAACGGUGGCGGGUUAUGUGUGUGAAGAGGAAGAUCUGUCGGGCAUAUUUGUUAAGAGUAUCAUAGAGGGUAGUGCAGCCGAAAUGAGUGGCCAGAUACAAAUCAAUGAUCGCAUAGUUAAGGUGGAUGGCAAGACAUUAAGUGGUGUAACCAAUCAUCAGGCCGUGGAGAUACUACGUAAUACGGAUAUUGAAGUGCAUCUUACACUGGAACGUUUCCUAAGAGGACGCAAAUUUGAGCACUUGCAAGUAGCCUUAACGGAAUUGAAAAUAGCUGUGGACUCACAGUCACAGGUUUCACUACCCCCCUCACCGUCAAUAGCUACUCUAUCAUGGCUGCCACCCAGGUCUGAUGGCGACUCAAUAGCCACUGAUGGUGGUGCUGUUAUAAUGGAAUUUGGUGAUUUACCCUCAAGAGAAACAGUGGAUUCGCAAAUGUCUCAUGUACUGGAUAAAAGUGAUCACAGUAGUGUGCCGCCAGUAGAAACUUCCAAAUCACCAACAACUACUCCUGAAGCCAAACCUGUUACGUUGGCUAAUGGCACGACAUGUCAUGCAAAAGACGUGGCAAAAACGCCAGAGACUAAAGAGAAACCUGUUAAUGGUUCGCUGGGUUCGCGAACACCCACCAUAGAUAACUUUACCGACUUGCUGGGCAAACAGUAUACUGAACUGAUACCCGUGGGACCACUGAAACUAAGCACUGACCUGUUGGCGAAUUCGGUUUCUCAAACAAGUGCGUCGAAUGCCGAACAAACGUGUCCAAGUGUGGAGGCUUUAAAAGUCGCCUGGAAAAGUGAGUUUCCCGACAGUGAAAUUAUAGUAGCCGAAAUAAAUAAACUUUCAGGUCUAGGAAUCAGCCUAGAAGGCACCGUGGAUGUAGAGCGUGGCAUUGAGAAGCGACCCCAUCAUUAUAUACGCUCGAUACUGGAAGACGGACCGGUGGGACGUCAGGGCAUCUUAAAACCCGGCGAUGAGCUGCUGCAGGUCAACGAAUACAAACUUCAGGGUCUCCGACACACCGAAGUGGUUAAAAUUCUCAAAGAACUGCCUUCACAUGUCAAAUUGGUAUGUGUACGCGGUGCUACGGCGCCGUCUAUUAUAAAUACUUCCCAAAAUCCCGAGGCCUUUGAAACGAGAAGUCUUCUGCCCGGCGGUCAUCAAAGUUUACAAAACUUGAUGACCAAAGCCCAGUCGGAAAGUUCUUUGUAUACCUCUAGCACUGCCACUCUGACGGAUCAACAACGUUCGAAGUCAUUGGAAAAUGUAUCUGGCCUGGCUCUUUGGAGUUCCGAUGUAACCAUUGUCGAAAUUGAAAAGACCGAACAGGGUUUUGGUUUCUCGAUACUAGACUAUCAAGAUCCCUUAGAUCCCGAGGGCAGUGUUAUAGUAAUACGAGGUCUAAUACGGGGAGGUUCGGCCGAGACCACCAACGAAAUAUUUCCCGGCGAUCGUUUGGUUAGCGUUGGAGAACAUUCACUGCAGGGCCUGGAUCUCGACGAGGCAGUGGCCAUAUUGAAAGGUAUGCCACUGGGCCUCACCAAGUUGGGCAUCUGUCGACCACUCUCAACAUCCGAUAGCAAUAUAGCAUCACCCAUAGGAGAGGGAGACUCACCGAGCACAUAGUUUUCAAUGGAUUUUUAUUAUUAUUUUACCAGAGUUUUGUUUUUAAUAUAAAACAUUAAAUUAAUUCGUUAAAUGCUGGGAUUUCACUAAAAUACAAAAACCAUAUCAUCACCGUAUCACAAAUGUAGACGAAAUAAUAUCUCAACUUUAAGGACUUGUAUGAUUUAUACAUACAACAUAAUAAACGAUACGAUUUAUACCAACAACAAAUACAACAUUUAAUAUGUAUGAAAAAAGAAAUAAAAUAUAGAAAAUUAAAUUCACAAUUAGUAAAAUAUUAAAGAACACACACACAUACUACACAAAAUAUACCAACUCAGUGAACAUAUACCAAAAAAAUAAAAGAAAUCAUGUAUACACAUAAGGACAUACAUAUAAAACUACUACUUAUGCAAACAAAAUGACUACACUACCAAAAACAGUGAUGUCAAUAAACCUAAAUAUUCAGCUUUGUAAUUUUGUUUGUAAAAAAUUAACAGGACACGAGAAGGGGCGUGAUCUCGUAGGCUAUUUUUUUCUCAAAAACCAAACUCGUUAUUUAUAGAAGAUCGUAGUACUUAUCAAACUCCUUACUUUUAAGCGGGCCUAAUAAGUACUUGCUGCAAUGUCAUUACUGUAUUAAAGUUAUGACUUAAAUGUUUUCAAUGUAUGUUUUUGCUUGGUACAUACAUACAUAUCUUGAAAAACAUUUUCAAGUUUCGGUUAAAUUUUUCACUGAGUAUUUAAUUGACAUCACUGUUGUAAACGUAAUUUACUUUUUCAUAGAAACAUCUCAACAAUACUUUAUGAAAUGAACUUAUUUAUUCAUUUUAUACGUACAUACUAUGUACAUGUAAUAUUUUAUUUACUCUGUAAAUAUGUAUUUACUUUCAUUUAGAUUUAAAUAAAAUAAAAAACAAACCAAACAAACCACUAGUUAAAUUUAGGUAAACUAUAAUAAAAACCAACAAAAAAAUUAGAAAUAAUUCUAAUAUAAAAAAAUUACCAAACUACAUAAAAUUCUAAAAAAUUUAUUCUAAAUAAAAUAAAACCAAAUAAAAAACCCGUAUAUUAUACACACAUAC